GCGCUCGCUUCAGCAGCACAUACACUAAAAUUAGAACAAUACAGAGAAGAUUAGUAUGGCUCCUGCCCAAGGAUAACAUGUAAAAUAAAAAUUCAAAUCAAACAAUA
ensembl:snRNA U6 U6 spliceosomal RNA